rnacentral:lncRNA from 1 species
AGUUACAAUAUGCAUGAAUCAUUGACAAAUGUUGAAUGUAUAAGUGAUUAAUGAGUGCAAACUAAAGUAAAACCCAUAAUCAUCCUCCGUAGCCAGCAGGUAGCUCAACUAGUUGAAGUGUCUACACCAUAACCUGUCCUACACCGAGGACACGGACCAUUCGAAUGGAUUAUACACUCUGCAGAGGUUGUACGCUGUACCCACACGCACAUCACCGUCCCAAGACGGCUCUGUCAUAGCCAACACCCAACCAUGGCUCAACCUCGCCUAGCCGCCCACAAUCCCCGGGUUCUGACCGCUCAGGUCCCCAACCCAAAACAUAUCUACCUCGGACGACUACCAGGCUAGCCAGUGGGAUUAGGCUAAGGCUUGCCCAUACAAGCUCAUGUGGUCGCACUGGAAAGAAGUUAGGUGAGAUGGCACCCCAACACACAGUCCUUAUGGUUCAUCAGAGCAGCCACCAACCAAAACUAGCAAACCCGAGAUGUCACCAUGACAACUCGGUCGCAAGUCUACCACCACGGUAGCGCAUGCACCAACACUUACCCCACUGCUCUGGUUUCAUUCCCGUCCAGUUUCAUCAAGUGUCAAUGUAUCAAAUAUUUAUGCAAUUAUCAUGCAUCAAGGCAUCAGUCAAAGGUUUCUCUCAUCCACUCAGUAUUAGGUGUAUCAUUUCAUGCCACUCCUAUGUAUAGAAGGUUUUAUAUUUUCCCUCACUUAGGAGCAAACACCAUUAGCGUAAGGGGUCGAUGAGACUUGCCUUCACUCGCGUACUCCUCCUCGACGUCGGGCUCCUGGUCAGCAGGCUCUAGCUGGUCGUCCUCCAGGAUCGGCUCUGUUCCGACAAACGACCGACAUGCGAUGCGGGCAGCCAAACAUCAGACAUACAUAAAAGUUAUAAUAUAUUUUUAGUAAAUAAAUACGUAGGGUUUUAUUUUAGAAAAUUCUUGGUAAAAGAAUUAGAUUAAUUAAAGUCACUAUGUAGGAGUUAUAGGCAUUAUAGCUUGUGAUUAAAUUAAUUACGAAAAUAAAAUAAAAAAAGAAAACGGCUUGGCCCAAGGCUUGGCUUGCUCGUACGAGGCAUUUUAGGCUGGGACUUGGGCUACGGUGGAGUGUGCAGGGGAUUCAGGUUAGCUUCUAAAGAGACAAUACGAAACGUUGAAUACGCUUCACAGGAGUCUUCUUCCUCCCUAUGCUCCCUCACGGCAACCAUUGGGAGCUCAAAUCCAGCCAUGAGAGAGGCAAGUGGGGCUGCUGGGGAGAGGGGAGAAGUGCCUCCAACCUUCAGCAGGCCUAGUCGGGGCGAGAUUUUGGGGAACGGGUCGACGGGCGAGCUGCUGUGUGGGAGGUGCGGCCAUGGUGGGUGGAGCUCGGUGGAGGCUCGGAAUGGCGAGGGGAACGACAAUAGAGCUGGGGGAGGUCAUCGCAGUAGUGGAGGUGGCGCUGACUUGCGGCUCGACUUGCCUCCGAAGGUGCUGCAACAGCAGGACGACGGACGGCGGCGGCGAACCAGCUCGGGAACGGAGGACUGGUGG